AGGAAAUAGAUACCCAGGUAGUCCAUGCUAUAAACGAUGGAUGCUAGCUGUGAUGCGUAUCGACCCGCGUCGUAGCGAAGCUAACGCGUUAAGCAUCCCGCCUGUGGAGUACGGCCGCAAGGCUAAAACAUAAAGGAAUUGACGGGGACCCGCACAAGCGGUGGAGCGUGUUGUUUAAUUCGAUGGUAAGCGAAGAACCUUACCCAGGUUUGACAUCCUUGGAAGUUCUGCGAAAGCAGAGUGUGCCUUCGGGAACCAAGUGACAGGUGAUGCACGGCCGUCUUCAGCUCGUGUCGUGAGACGUUAGGUUAAGUCCUUCAACGAGCGCAACCCUUAUAGUUAGUUGUAUUUUUCUAGCUAGACUGCCCUGGUAACAGGGAGGAAGGAGGGGACGAUGUCAGGUCAGUAUCUCCCUUAUAUCUGGGGCUACAAACACGCUACAAUGGCCGGUACAAAGGGAAGCAACCCGCGAGGGGGAGCAAAUCCCAUCAAAGCCGGUCUCAGUUCGGAUUGUAGGCUGAAACUCGCCUGCAUGAAGCU
rnacentral:rRNA from 1 species